UACGAAAGGGGCUAGCGUUGUUCGGAUUUACUGGGCGUAAAGGGCACGCAGGCGGUCUUGCCAGUCAGGGGUGAAAGCCCGGGGCUCAACCUCGGAACUGCCUCUGAUACUGCAAGACUUGAGACUAGGAGAGGGUGGUGGAAUUCCCAGUGUAGAGGUGAAAUUCGUAGAUAUUGGGAGGAACACCAGAGGCGAAGGCGGCCACCUGGACUAGAUCUGACGCUCAGGUGCGAAAGCGUGGGGAGCAAACAGG
rnacentral:rRNA from 1 species